UGUGCGGCCGCCUCGCCUCCCCGGACCCGCGCCUCGAAGCCUCGACGCUCCCCUGCGCUCUCGGCCAGCCAGCCCUGCGUUUGGGACUGUGCUGGCUGAUGAGCUAACCCCGGGAGAUGCCGCUGGCAGGAGCAGCUCUGCAGGUCACCUGGCAAGGCCUGUCCCAGUUCCCAUGAGCAGCACUAUGGUAUGAAUGCUUCUGACUUCCUGCCACCAAUGGAACCAUCCUGUUCAGCUCCAGUAAGCAAAAGGAAGGGGUUGAAGUGAAGUUUGUUUGGUUUUGCCUUUUUUGUGUGUGUCUCCAGUAAGUGGGGGGAGCAUCCAGCUCAAUUCCUGUUUUUAACAUUCUUCUGGCAUGAUUCAAAACUAACCUGCUGUGCUGUCACCCGAAGUCUUCAAUAAAUGUGCAAAACCAGU